UUGACCUCAAAUCAGGUAGGACUACCCGCUGAACUUAAGCAUAUCAAUAAGCGGAGGAAAAGAAACUAACAAGGAUUCCCCUAGUAACUGCGAGUGAAGCGGGAAGAGCUCAAAUUUGAAAUCUGGCGGCUGUUUGACCGUCCGAGUUGUAAUCUAGAGAAGUGCUACCCGUGCUGGACUGUGUACAAGUCUCCUGGAAUGGGGCAUCAUAGAGGGUGAGAAUCCCGUCUUUGACACGGACUGCCAGUGCGCCGUGGGUGUGCUCUCGAAGAGUCGAGUUGUUUGGGAAUGCAGCUCAAAAUGGGUGGUAAAUGCCAUCUAAAGCUAAAUAUUGGCGAGAGACCGAUAGCGAACAAGUACCGUGAGGGAAAGAUGAAAAGAACUUUGGAAAGAGAGUUAAACAGUACGUGAAAUUGCUGAAAGGGAAACGCUUGGAGUCAGUCGCGUUGGCCAGGAAUCAGCCCUGCUUCUGCUUGGUGUACUUUCUGGUCUCCAACGGGUCAGCAUCAAUCUUGACCGCCGGACAAAGUCUUUGGGAAUGUGGCAUCUUCUGGAUGUGUUAUAGCCCAUGGUCGCAUACGGCGGCUGGGAUUGAGGAACUCAGCAUGGCCCCGCAAGGGACAAUUGGGUCCUUGGACCACAUUCGUGCUUAGGAUGCUGGCGUAAUGGCUUCAAUCGACCCGUCUUGAAACACGGACCAAGGAGUCUAACAUGCCUGCGAGUGUUUGGGUGGAAAACCCAUGCGCGCAAUGAAAGUGAAAGUUGAGACCUCUGUCAAAGGAGAGCAUUGACGCCCAGACCAGACCUUCUGCGACGGAUCUGCGGUAGAGCAUGUGUGUUGGGACCCGAAAGAUGGUGAACUAUGCCUGAAUAGGGUGAAGCCAGAGGAAACUCUGGUGGAGGCUCGUAGCGAUUCUGACGUGCAAAUCGAUCGUCAAAUUUGGGUAUAGGGGCGAAAGACUAAUCGAACCAUCUAGUAGCUGGUUCCUGCCGAAGUUUCCCUCAGGAUAGCAGAAACUCGUAUCAGAUUUAUGUGGUAAAGCGAAUGAUUAGAGGCCUUGGGGUUGAAACAACCUUAACCUAUUCUCAAACUUUAAAUAUGUAAGAAGCGGCCGUCUCUUAACUGGACCGCUCGACGAUUGAGAGUUUCUAGUGGGCCAUUUUUGGUAAGCAGAACUGGCGAUGCGGGAUGAACCGAACGCGAGGUUAAGGUGCCGGAAUUCACGCUCAUCAGACACCACAAAAGGUGUGAGUGCAUCUAGACAGCACGACGGUGGCCAUGGAAGUCGGAAU
rnacentral:rRNA from 1 species